GAUGAAGAACGUAGCGAAACGCGAUAGCUAGUGUGAAUUGCAAAUUCAGUGAAUCAUCGAGUCUUUGAACGCACAUUGCGCCCCCUGGUAUUCCGGGGGGCAUGCCUGUCCGAGCGUCAUUGCUGCCCUCAAGCACGGCUUGUGUGUUGGGCCCCGUCCUCCGAUCCCGGGGGACGGGCCCGAAAGGCAGCGGCGGCACCGCGUCCGGUCCUCGAGCGUAUGGGGCUUUGUCACCCGCUCUGUAGGCCCGGCCGGCGCUUGCCGAUCAACCCAAAUUUUUAUCCAGGUUGACCUCGGAUCAGGUAGGGAUACCCGCUGAACUUAAGCAUAUCAAUAAGCGGAGGA
rnacentral:misc_RNA from 1 species